CUGGCUCUGGACGAACGCUGGCGGCGUGCCUAAUACAUGCAAGUAGAACGCUGAAGACUUUAGCUUGCUAAAGUUGGAAGAGUUGCGAACGGGUGAGUAACGCGUAGGUAACCUGCCUACUAGCGGGGGAUAACUAUUGGAAACGAUAGCUAAUACCGCAUAACAGCAUUUAACACAUGUUAGAUGCUUGAAAGGAGUAAUUGCUUCACUAGUAGAUGGACCUGCGUUGUAUUAGCUAGUUGGUGAGGUAACGGCUCACCAAGGCGACGAUACAUAGCCGACCUGAGAGGGUGAUCGGCCACACUGGGACUGAGACACGGCCCAGACUCCUACGGGAGGCAGCAGUAGGGAAUCUUCGGCAAUGGGGGCAACCCUGACCGAGCAACGCCGCGUGAGUGAAGAAGGUUUUCGGAUCGUAAAGCUCUGUUGUAAGAGAAGAACGUGUGUGAGAGUGGAAAGUUCACACAGUGACGGUAACUUACCAGAAAGGGACGGCUAACUACGUGCCAGCAGCCGCGGUAAUACGUAGGUCCCGAGCGUUGUCCGGAUAUAUUGGGCGUAAAGCGAGCGCAGGCGGUUUAAUAAGUCUGAAGUUAAAGGCAGUGGCUUAACCAUUGUUCGCUUUGAAACUGUUAGACUUGAGUGCAGAAGGGGAGAGUGGAAUUCCAUGUGUAGCGGUGAAAUGCGUAGAUAUAUGGAGGAACACCGGUGGCGAAAGCGGCUCUCUGGUCUGUAACUGACGCUGAGGCUCGAAAGCGUGGGGAGCACACAGGAUUAGAUACCCUGGUAGUCCACGCCGUAAACGAUGAGUGCUAGGUGUUAGGCCCUUUCCGGGGCUUAGUGCCGCAGCUAACGCAUUAAGCACUCCGCCUGGGGAGUACGACCGCAAGGUUGAAACUCAAAGGAAUUGACGGGGGCCCGCACAAGCGGUGGAGCAUGUGGUUUAAUUCGAAGCAACGCGAAGAACCUUACCAGGUCUUGACAUCCCGAUGCUAUUCCUAGAGAUAGGAAGUUUCUUCGGAACAUCGGUGACAGGUGGUGCAUGGUUGUCGUCAGCUCGUGUCGUGAGAUGUUGGGUUAAGUCCCGCAACGAGCGCAACCCCUAUUGUUAGUUGCCAUCAUUAAGUUGGGCACUCUAGCGAGACUGCCGGUAAUAAACCGGAGGAAGGUGGGGAUGACGUCAAAUCAUCAUGCCCCUUAUGACCUGGGCUACACACGUGCUACAAUGGUUGGUACAACGAGUCGCGAGUCGGUGACGGCAAGCAAAUCUCUUAAAGCCAAUCUCAGUUCGGAUUGUAGGCUGCAACUCGCCUACAUGAAGUCGGAAUCGCUAGUAAUCGCGGAUCAGCACGCCGCGGUGAUACAUUCCCGGGCCUGUACACACCGCCCGUCA
rnacentral:rRNA from 1 species